rfam:Camelus ferus unplaced genomic scaffold scaffold692, whole genome shotgun sequence.
GAGGGUAUAGCUCAGUGGUAGAGUGUGUGCUUGACGUGUACAAAGUCCUGGGUUCAAUCUCUAGUACCUUCA